UUUAAGUUGCUUCCAUUGCCGGCCACAAUUAGGUAAGGUAAUAAGUUGUUUUCUUAAAGAUUUUUGUAGAUUUCUCAAGUAUGGAUCAUGGUGUAGUUAGCCCAUUGUUUAAUUUUUGCUAUUAAGUAAAUUAGUUCAUGAUACCAUUGUUGAAGAUAUGAAGUUUUGUAAGCUUGAAAACACGAGAUUCAUGAUAGUUAAGCUUGAUUAUGUAAGGAUAAAAUGAGUUAGUUUGAAAUAAAGUUACAUCAUGUUAAAGUUUUAAAGUUAUUAUUGAAACAUUAAGGAUUAGAUUGUAAGAGAUGAGAAUUUUGGAAUAUUAUGGUAGUUUGAGAUCCCUAGAGAAUAAAUACGAGGAUAGGAUAAAGUGCAAGAUUAAAGUUAUAAAGGGAUUCAAAUGAAAAGAACCUAAAAUUGUGUUCUAGGCAUUGGAUAUAAGCUCAUCAAUGAUGUAGUUUAUAUCGAAAAGAUCGUACAUAGCUGAAGAUGAGAUCGAAACGUCGAGGAACUGAGGCGAAUAUGGUGGUCAGAUAACUAAUUUGGUUUGUGCUAAUUUAAUAAAUAUUUAUUCAAUUCAUGUUUUUAAUUACUAUUAAGUCCUUGAAUUUAAUAUAAAAUAUGAAUAUCAAGUAUGUUUCCAGUUAUGUCGUGAUUGAAUGUCAAGUGUUAGUAUAAAUGUUAAGGGAUAAUAUCAAGCACGACUUAUGACUAGGUAAGUAAACUAUGUCUUAUCCCUUGAUAAUAAGUUCGACUUGAAUUAUAGAAUAAUAGUGAUAAUAUUUGAUAUUGAUAUAAGUUGUAAUGCUAUCAUGAUAGAUAUUGACACGAACAAAUGUCACGUUAGCGAACAAAAUAAAUUAAAUAUAAAUAAACACAUAUGAAAUAAAAUAUAAAUAGAAUGAUUUAUAAUUAAUUUAUUAAAUACGAAAAUCAAAUAAAACCAUAAUAAACAGUUGAAAUAAAGGAGAAUCGAGAUUUUACGAAACGUCAAGGCCUGUGAAACAUAGUUUCCUUAAGACAGAUUCGGCCACUCCUACGGUAUUUGGAGAAACGUUGGUCGAAUGUCUUCCAUAAUACAACAAUAACAAUGAUCAAAGUAGUAGAACCUUUACAACAAUCAACGAACGAACUUUGCCUUUUUCUAUCACCGGAAUGUUUUAGAAAUACGGAGAGGCAAAAAGAAGAAUUUUGAAAUCAACGAAAUUUCGGUAUAAGAAAUUAUUGGAAUGUAGGUUUAAUCCUCCAGAAUACACAACCUUUUAUAGGCUUUUAGGAUAGUGGGGCUUAAAAUAAAUUCGCGUGGGACUUAAAAUCUUCGCAAGCCUAUUUAGGCUUGAUCGGUCUGGACAUUUCACAUUGCCCACGUUGUCUGGGUGCACCUUAAUCCCGUCGGGUUUAGACUUGCACCCCCUACACGCGAGGCAAAGUUACAAGCUUAGUCAGUCAAUUAUUUUUUAAUAGGGUUCACAUAUAUAAACAUAUCUCACACUUUGGUAUUUAACCAAUGUGGGGUCUAAGUCUUUAUUUUUCCUCAACAAUAUUUUCAAGUAGUUUACUUUGAGCAUCAAUUUCUCAUUCACUACUCAACCAUUUUGAGCAUAUGAUAUACCGUUGUAAAGGUCUCAUGAAGUAGAAUAUGAAACCAUAAUUUUAUGAUUCAACUCUCCACCUUUACGUGUUGAGAAUAUGCCUCAAAGUUCCCAUAAAAAUAUAAUUUUCCAACAAUGAAUUCUAUGCCAUGAAAUAGUUAUGAUGUUAUCUUGGUAGAUGUUAAGAUGAUGCACACAUAAAUUUAUGUAUGUACAAAAUUAGCACAUGCUAUGAUGUAAGAUAAUUCACAAUUUGUCUUGAGACUAUUAAACAUUGAACUUAAAAUAAAUUUUAUCCUAUUUUAGGUAUUGAGACAAAAACCUUUUCUUGAGGCAUCCAAAUAUCGAAGUAAAAAGUUUGAAAUAAGGGAAUUAUGUCUUGAGACAUAAGUGACCAAGUCUUGAGAUACAAACUUCAGUGUCUCAAGAUGCAGAGUUAAAUUGGCCCGUCAAGUUUGAAUUUAAAUCCUAACUUCAUGUUUGAUUUCGAUAAACUUUGAAACAUUUUAUAUGAGAUAAUUUAGCUUAACUCAUCAUGUUUAUGCGUAUAAUUGUGAUUGUAUGAGAAUUAUUAUGAUUGAUUGCCAAAUUAUUUGAUAUAAUAAAUUGAAAUAGUCUGAGUUACUUCGGAAACAUAAUGUGAUAUCAUACAUCUAGAUUUGACGAUUAGGUUAGGUGUGGGGUAUCACAAUUGUAAUUUAUAAUUAUCAUAAGUAAAGUUGUAUAUUAAUUGUUUUAGAAUUAAAGUUUUAUUGUUAAAAACUAAUAUUAAGUGGGCAAAAUUAGAAUGUUGUUUUUGAAAAAAAAAAGAUUUUAGGUUGCAUUUUGGUUCAAUUAGAAAAAUAGGUUGAUUUAACCGACUAGAUUGUCAUAGUAGCUAAAGCACAUUUUGUAAGGCAUGUUUUCAGCAACCAAAGCGUCUUACAAGAUACACUUUUGGGGAAAAUAAAGCAAAAAUAUUGAAAAAAAAGCAAUUAGGUCGGAAUUUCCUCUUUCGCUACCUCUUUUGCAUAAGAAGGAACCUCACCGAUGACAUAAAUCUCUUCCUCUCUCUUUAAUCUUUCUACAACCAAUAAAUGUGCAACUUCAUUUGCUUGUCUCAGCGUGUGCUUAAAGACACACACUUGGUAUCUUUCACAGAUUGCUCUAAUGUUUAAAAUAUGAGCACCUAUUACUGACCUAUCGAUUCCCUUUGAUUGCAGCUUCCGAAUCACCGAUAAGGUGUCUCCUUCGAUCUCCACCCUCGUAAGUCCAACAUGCAGCUCCAUCUUAAUCAUCUGAAAACAUGCCAGUGCCUCAACCGCAAAUGGUGAAGGUAUGUUGCCAUACAAAAUGCUUUUUGAGAAUAACACCCUGCCAAUAGUAUCUCUGAUGAUAAUUCCUAAGCAUGACUUGUUAUUUUGCUUACAAAAAGCUACAUCAAAAUUUAUUUUGACAAUUUGUUCAUUUGGUGCCUUCCAUCAUACUUGUACGACUUGCUUUACUGUUGUUCUUUCAUUGAUUCCAUCAAUUUCCUCCAAAUAAUUUCUAAUAAAAUUUGCCGUCUCUGAUGCUAUUAUGUUUUUUCCUUCAUGCAGCAGUUGAUUUCUCCCAGCCUAUAUAGCCCACAAAGCACAACAAAAGAUUCGACAAAAGUACUUAGAAUUGUUCUCAAAAAAAAGAUUCACCUAGUUUUUGAUAUUCAUAACUGGUGACGUUUUGGUCACAUAAUGCCUAACUACUGCUAGAUCUCCUUUGAUUUCAAACACUCCAUAAACACAUAUUCCAUUGUUUCGAAUCCGUUUGCACAUCUAGGGUAUUCUGACAUUCCCAUCAGCCUCCUGUAAUUUAGAUUAGAAAAAGUAGGCAAAUCGUUCUUUUUAAUUCUCCAUAAUGUAUUUUUUUUUAUCUUAGAGGGCAAAUCUAAAAGCCAAUGCUUUUUGUAAAGUGUCGAAUGGGGAUGAUUACUCCCAUUUGUAGUUCCCAUAUUAUUUUCUUGUAAUAACAAUUUGUAAGCACUAUGCACUGUAUACUCCCCCAAUGCCUUUCCACCCAAGCCAGGAAAUCCUCAUGUAGAAACUAUGUCAAAGGAAUGCUUAAAAUGCGUUGGGCCUUCACUUCAUUAAAGAUAGAUCGUACAAUUCCUUCUCUCCAUGUCCUCAAUCUUGGAUCAAUCAAAUCAACCAAUGUUUGUAUACAUUGAUUAGUAAUAGUUUGCUGAAUUUUGAAAUUUGGAUUCCCAGGUAUCCACGCAUCAUCUCUCAUCGAGAUUGCUGCCCCUGUACCAAUUCUCCAACACAUCUCAAACACUCAAACACAAGAAUCCCUUUGAGGCCCGCACAAUUUUCCAAGUAUACAAAGGUAGAUUCCGUAAACUCGCUGUAGAAAGUUCAUGUUUGGAAAAUAUUUUGCCUUUAAAGUUCUCACUAACAAGGAAUUUAGGCAAGUAAUCAAUCACCAAACCUUGUUUGGCCAGUAGAGCCAAAUUAAACUUUGCUAGGCAACAUAAUCUCAUACCUUCAUAAUCUUUUAAUUCACAUAAUUGUCUCCAAGUGCACCAAUAAAUUCUACGCUUAUUACUACUUUUACCCCACUAGAAAUUACCAAUAAUAUUUUCAAGUUCCACACAU
rnacentral:lncRNA from 1 species